CCUCAUUAUCAUGCAGGCAAAGAAAGGCUCUUUAACUUAUGCAAAGCUAUUCACUGGGGUAAGCUGGCAGGACAGUCUAUUGCUACAGAUUAUUUAUAUUAAUAAUAUUCACAAAGCCCAUCCUGCCUGAUUGCAUGACCCCAGCAACCUGCUACAUGGUUUACAUCUACCCCAUUUAAAGACAUGCAAGACAGCACAUCUCAUGCAAUUCCCGGGCCACAAUGGUCCAUUAACUAAACAGCACAUUGUUUUCAUCUGAAGCCUAAAUUGCAAAACUCAG